GACGGGGGAUGCAAGCGUUAAUCGGAAUUACUGGGCGUAAAGCGCAUGUAGGCGGCCGAACAAGUCAGGUGUGAAAUCCUCGGGCUUAACCUGGGAAGUGCACUUGAUACUGUCCGGCUAGAGUUUGGCAGAGGAAAGUAGAAUUCCCGGUGUAGCGGUGAAAUGCGUAGAUAUCGGGAGGAAUACCAGUGGCGAAGGCGGCUUUCUGGGCCAAUACUGACGCUGAGGUGCGAAAGCGUGGGGAGCAAACAGG
rnacentral:rRNA from 1 species